rnacentral:tRNA from 1 species
GGAACUAUAGCUCAGAGGUAGAGUGCCUGCUUGACAUGUACAAGGUCCUGGAUUCAAUCCUCAGUGCCUCCA